rnacentral:tRNA from 1 species
GGAUCCGUAGCUCAAUGGAAGAGCAGCGUGACGUCACAUAAAACAGGGAGAGCAAGGUUCCGGGUUCGAAUCCCGGCGGAUCCA